rnacentral:rRNA from 1 species
UACGGGGGGUGCGAGCGUUGUCCGGAAUUAUUGGGCGUAAAGCGCACGUAGGCGGCUUUGCAAGUCCCAUGUGAAAUCCCACGGCUCAACCGUGGAAGUGCAUGGGAAACUGCAGAGCUUGAGUACUUAAGAGGAUCGCGGAAUUCCCGGUGUAGAGGUGAAAUUCGUAGAUAUCGGGAGGAACACCAGUGGCGAAGGCGGCGAUCUGGGAAGAUACUGACGCUGAGGUGCGAAAGCGUGGGGAGCAAACAGG